GCCAGCGGCGCGCACCACCCGGGGCGGGGGGAGGUGGGGCGCAGAAAGUGCCUCCCCCCAACCCGGAGCGGAAUGGAGUCGUCGGGCGGGAACCGGGCCGUGAGGGAGUGACCGGCCGGGGGCAUCGAGGGAAGAGAGGACAUGGCACCGAGUGCCGUGGGGAUGUUCGGACUGAGGUGGGACUUGGUCAGCUCAGAGGCCUUGUCCAGACGAACUGAUCCUGUCAUUCGGUGGUGUCCCCCCCGGGCUGUUCUGGGUGGUACAGAACUGUCCUGGGAAAUUGUGAAUGCCUCAUCCUUGGAAGUCUUCCAGGCCAGGUUGGAUGGUGCUCUGAGGAACCCGGUCUAGGGGAAGGUGUCCCUGUCUGUGGCAGGGGGUGGAACGAGGUGCUCUUUAAGGUCCCUUCCAACCCGAGUCAUUCUGGUUUUCUGAGACUUAGCCUUGCCAGCUAUGGAUUUCCUUUGAUGUGCUUCACUUGCAAUAACUAAUCUGCUUCUUACAGCUUCUCAUUUAUACCUACACUUUUUUAUUUCCUGCUUCCUCCAUUUUGGCUAUUUCUUUUUUUAAUUUUACUCACGCUCUCCAGUCCAUUAAUAAAACGUUUUUUUCUCUCUUGAUUUUGAA